AUUGAACGCUGGCGGCAGGCCUAACAAAUGCAAGUCGAGCGAGCGGCGGACGGGUGAGUAAUGUCUGGGAAACUGCCAGAUGGAGGGGGAUAACUACUGGAAACGGUAGCUAAUACCGCAUACUAUCAGAUGUGCCCAGAUGGGAGUAGCUAGUAGGUGGGGUAACGGCUCACCUAGGCGACGAUCCCUAGAUGGUCUGCGAGGAUGACCAGCCACACUGGAACUGAUACACGGGCCUGACUCGUACGUGAGUAAGCAGUGGUGAAUAUUUCACAAUGGGCGCAAGCCUGUGGCAGCCAUGCCGCGUUUGUUGAGAAGGCCUUCGGGUUGUAAAGCACUUUCAGCGGGGAGGCGUUACCCGAAGAAGAAGCACCGGCUAACUCCGUGCCAGCAGCCGCGGUAAUUC
rnacentral:rRNA from 1 species